rnacentral:rRNA from 1 species
GUCGUUCGAGACCAGGACGUUGAUAGGUCAGGUGUGUAAGCGCAGUAAUGCGUUCAGCUAACUGAUACUAAUUGCCCGUAAGGCUUGAUCCUAUAACA